UAAUACGUAGGGUGCGAGCGUUAAUCGGAAUUACUGGGCGUAAAGCGUGCGCAGGCGGUAUCGCAAGUCAGGCGUGAAAUCCCCGAGCUCAACUUGGGAAUUGCGCUUGAAACUAUGAUGCUGGAGUGUGGCAGAGGGAGGUGGAAUUCCACGUGUAGCGGUGAAAUGCGUAGAGAUGUGGAGGAACACCGAUGGCGAAGGCAGCCUCCUGGGCCAACACUGACGCUCAUGCACGAAAGCGUGGGGAGCAAACAGGAUUAGAUACCCUGGUAGUCCACGCCCUAAACGAUGACGACUAGUUGUUGGGGGAGUUAAAUCCCUCAGUAACGCAGCUAACGCGUGAAGUCGUCCGCCUGGGGAGUACGGUCGCAAGAUUAAAACUUAAAGGAAUUGACGG
rnacentral:rRNA from 1 species